GAUGAACGCUGGCGGCGUGCUUAACACAUGCAAGUCGAGCGGUAAGGCCCUUUCGGGGGUACACGAGCGGCGAACGGGUGAGUAACACGUGGGUGACCUGCCCUCAGCUCUGGGAUAAGCCCGGGAAACUGGGUCUAAUACCGGAUAUGACUCCAUGACGCAUGUUGUGGGGUGGAAAGCCUUGUGCGGCUGAGGAUGGGCCCGCGGCCUAUCAGCUUGUUGGUGGGGUGANGGCCUACCAAGGCGACGACGGGUAGCCGGCCUGAGAGGGCGACCGGCCACACUGGGACUGAGACACGGCCCAGACUCCUACGGGAGGCAGCAGUGGGGAAUCUUGCGCAAUGGGCGAAAGCCUGACGCAGCGACGCCGCGUGAGGGAUGACGGCCU
rnacentral:rRNA from 1 species